UUGCACAAGUGCUCAGAAGAGGAUAACGAGGCAGGGCUGGAGAUUGCUGGUCAGGCAGUUUCUUAGGAAGAAAGUAGUACUCAACAAACAUGGCUGUUUGGGAAACUGGAUGUGGUUGCUUUGAAGGAGCAGUUGCUACAGGGGGAAGCAAGAAGCUCAGGCUUGUGAAGGGUGAAAAAAGACUAUUUCCACUCCAUGAAGACAAGACACAGAUGUCUGGAAGGAAGUUCAAAUAAACAAAGUGCUGGAGGUCCUGUUAUCAUUGCAUCUUGCUGCUGCUGCUGUUAAAUGACAUCCCACCCCAGGAAAUGAUGUGGCCUUACCAUAUGUAACUGAUGGAACAAUGAAAAACAUUUAAUAAUCUGAACUGCAGUAAUUCAAAGGCCAGAGUAUUAACAAGUCGCUCAUCUGACACUUUUUUAUAAGGUGUCCAAUGCUACAAGUACUCAUGUUUGCAAUAACAUAGGUGGUUGUGGUUGUUUUUAGUUUGUUUUGGUUUUGUUUUUUGGAGGUCUUUUCCACAGAACGCCCUUUUCUUCAAGAAGGCAACAUAAAGGAAAAACGGGAGAUCUGGGGAACAUCACAUCAGAGGUCAUUCCCCCACUAGGCACUUGUAAAUUACGAGUCUGAGGAAAUAAUGAGUUUAUGAACUUAUCAUGAACUCUGAGUGGUAUGUUGCAAAGAACUAUUUUUGAGAGGAAGUGAUGGAUGAAUAUUUCAUCCCAUUAAACAAUGUAUGUUACGUAAUGUAACUGUAAAAGUGAUCACAUUGAUCAUGAAGACAAUAUAAUAGUGGUCUUGUAGCAGAAGAAGGAAUUAUGAAAGAUUCUGACAGCUAUCUAGAUUUUUUCAACAUUAUCUAUUGACCAAAUGAGGGGGGGAAGGGGAAAGACUUCAGCGCUCACAAUUGGGGCCAAUUUUCCACAUUGACAGCUGCACCUUAGUCACCUGACUGAAGUGGCCAGUAGAGGUAGUCAGGACUUCUGACAAAAUAUUUCCUUAUCUGAAAAUCCUCAUUGGUCAACACUGAGACUUUUUGUGGUUUCUGUGAAACUUUCUCAAGUUCAGGAUGGAAUUUUUGGUCAGAGAGAGAUUUGAGGUAGACCCACACCUAAGUAGUUAGGUUACUUACCUGGGAUGUCUGAUUCAAGUCCCUGCUCUGAAUCAAGAAGAACAGGGAUUUGAACCUUGGUCUGUCUCAUCUCAAGUGAGAGACUGAGCAAUUAGCUAGUUGUUUGUGUGUGUGCGCACGCUUGCAUGUGUGUUCAUUUUCCCAAAAUUGUUAGAAAGGUCUAGUUUUUGUUCCAAUGUGGAGUGAAAAAGAAUCUUGGAAUCUCAAAAUUUCUCCCAAAAGAGAAUGUUUGUUUGCUUUCCAGCUAGACUUUUGUGGCCAGAUCUUCCAAAGUUAUCAGCACCCAGGAACUCCCAUUUAGAACAGUCUGAACAAAAAUUAAAUAUUUACACUGGAGGAAUGACGUCUUUUCUUUCAAAUCCCCUGAGUCCUUUGUUCUUUCAGCAUCUUGUCUUUGGAAAAUGUGUUCUGUGGGAUUGACCUCAAGCUAUUUACAAGGGCUGAUAUUUAUAGUUGACUGUGGUGGUUGAAAUGCCACUGACUUAAAUUAUUUGUGCUAAAACAAAAUAAAUCCAUUUUUAUUAAUCAGGACAUUGUUGGCUCAUACAAUUCCAGUGUAUGAGUAUGUUCUUUACAGAACACUCAUCAAAUAAUAAAUCUUCAUGACAAAGAGUGCCUCUGAUCAUGCAUAUGUACUAUAACGAAGACAAGAGGGUUCCAAUUUGCACAUAAAGGCACCAGCUGAAUGUAAAUAUUAUGUGCAACAACACAAGAGGACAGUCUGCCACUGAACUUACAAGUGUAAUGGGAUGAAUUCUUGCAGUGGAUGGGGUUGCAGCUGUUAUAAACAGUCUAUAAAUGAUGCAGACGUCUAUGAAAAUAUCAAAAUAACAAUAAAAAAUGAGAGAAAGUAAACAGCUUGAGGAGAGGAAGAGGAAUAACACUGAUUCCUGCUAUUGUAUGUCCUUUCAUCUCCACUCUAGUUUAAUACAUAAUCUGUCCUCUCAUUUACUAGCAAUAUCUGGCUCCAAACUACCAAAUGGCUAAUAAAAAUUUAUUCUUGUUGGCCAGGAGUCCUAGUUACUAUCACAUGAAAGCCAAGAUUCUCAGAAAUGACGAGGAACAUCUUAAAGAGGCCUGACAUCCAGAAAGUGCUGAGCACCCACACUGGAAAACUGAUCCCUAAUUUGGUAUCUCAUGUUGGGCACCCAAAAUCAUGGGUCCCUCUUAAAUCUUGUCUCAAAUGGUUAUGGGAAUGAUCAUUUAGCUUUCCAGACAUCUUUUUUCCUUGCUCUCUUAUGAGGAUAUCCUCAAUACACCAAUCCUGUCAUCUGUUAACUAAAACUAAUAAUUUCAUUCAGUGAUGUAUUGGUACUAUUGUAAGAUUUGUUGUGACUUCUCCUGGUUCAGCUUACUUCCACGGUUCAUACAGAUCAAAAGAGAGAUUAUAUAUAAUAAAAUUAUAAUUAGUGAUUGCUGUUUUGUCAUCAGUGACACUAAUAUGUCAAGUUUGCAGCAGGACAAUGAAUAAGAGAUCUUAUAGGAUUGUGACUAUAAUUGAUUCCUCUCAACUCUUAAUGCCAGGCCCCUGACAAGUGAAUAAGUUAUGGUCAGUUUUCACAUGAUGAGACCUUUUUAUCUGCCUGUAUAAGAAUAUGAAUAG